CACGUAGGGGGCGAGCGUUGUCCGGAUUCAUUGGGCGUAAAGAGCUCGUAGGCGGCUCAGUAAGUCGGGUGUGAAACCCUCAGGCUCAACCUGGGGACGCCACUCGAUACUGCUGUGGCUAGAGUCCAGUAGAGGAGUGUGGAAUUCCCGGUGUAGCGGUGAAAUGCGCAGAUAUCGGGAGGAACACCAACGGCGAAGGCAGCACUCUGGGCUGGUACUGACACUGAGGAGCGAAAGCGUGGGUAGCAAACAGG
rnacentral:rRNA from 1 species